rnacentral:rRNA from 1 species
AGAGUUUGAUCCUGGCUCAGGAUGAACGCUGGCGGCGUGCUUAACACAUGCAAGUCGAACGGAGAGCGUAUGACAGAGGAUUCGUCCAAUGGAUUACGUUUCUUAGUGGCGGACGGGUGAGUAACGCGUGAGGAACCUGCCUCGGAGUGGGGAAUAACACAACGAAAGCUGUGCUAAUACCGCAUGAUGCAAUUGUCUCGCAUGGGACAGAUUGCCAAAGAUUUAUCGCUCUGAGAUGGCCUCGCGUCUGAUUAGCUAGUUGGCGGGGUAACGGCCCACCAAGGCGACGAUCAGUAGCCGGACUGAGAGGUUGGCCGGCCACAUUGGGACUGAGACACGGCCCAGACUCCUACGGGAGGCAGCAGUGGGGAAUAUUGGGCAAUGGGCGGAAGCCUGACCCAGCAACGCCGCGUGAAGGAAGAAGGCCCUCGGGUUGUAAACUUCUUUUGUCAGGGACGAAGCAAGUGACGGUACCUGACGAAUAAGCCACGGCUAACUACGUGCCAGCAGCCGCGGU